GAAAAGAAACCAACAGGGAUUCCCCUAGUAACGGCGAGUGAAGCGGGAACAGCUCAAAUUUGAAAUCUGGCCCUUGGGUCCGAGUUGUAAUUUGCAGAGGAUGCUUUUGGUGCGGUGCCUUCCGAGUUCCCUGGAACGGGACGCCUUAGAGGGUGAGAGCCCCGUACGGUUGGACACCAAGCCUAUGUAAAGCUCCUUCGACGAGUCGAGUAGUUUGGGAAUGCUGCUCAAAAUGGGAGGUAUAUUUCUUCUAAAGCUAAAUAUUGGCCAGAGACCGAUAGCGCACAAGUAGAGUGAUCGAAAGAUGAAAAGCACUUUGAAAAGAGGGUUAAAUAGCACGUGAAAUUGUUGAAAGGGAAGGAUUUAUGACCAGACUUUUUCUAGGGGGAUCAUCCGGUGUUCUCACCGGUGCACUUCCCCUAGUUGAGGCCAGCAUCGGUUUCUGUCGGGGGAUAAAAGCUUUAGGAAUGUGGCUCCCUCCGGGGAGUGUUAUAGCCUGUUGCAUAAUACCCUGACGGGGACCGAGGUUCGCGCAUUGCAAGGAUGCUGGCGUAAUGGUUAUUAAUCACCCGUCUUGAAACACGGACCAAGGAGUCGAACAUUUGUGCGAGUGUUUGGGUGUUAAACCCUCACGCGUAAUGAAAGUGAACGGAGGUGAGAGCCUUUCGGGGUGCAUCAUCGACCGAUCCUGAUGUCUUCGGAUGGAUUUGAGUAAGAGCAUUAAUGUUCGGACCCGAAAGAUGGUGAACUAUGCGUGGAUAGGGUGAAGCCAGAGGAAACUCUGGUGGAGGCUCGCAGCGGUUCUGACGUGCAAAUCGAUCGUCAAAUCUGCGCAUGGGGGCGAAAGACUAAUCGAACCAUCUAGUAGCUGGUUACCGCCGAA
rnacentral:rRNA from 2 species